rnacentral:rRNA from 1 species
UCGAGAAUCUUCGGCAAUGAGCGCAAGCUUGACCGAGCGAUGCCGCGUGCGGGAUGAAGGCCCUCGGGUUGUAAACCGCUGUCGUAGGGGAGUAAUGGCCAGUGGGUUCUCCCUCUGGUUUGAACAAUCCUAGGAGGAAGGACGGGCUAAGUUCGUGCCAGCAGCCGCGGUAAGACGAACCGUCCAAACGUUAUUCGGAAUCACUGGGCUUACAGAGUUCGUAGGCGGUCCCAAAAGUUAGGUGUGAAAUCCCUCGGCUCAACCGAGGAACUGCGCUUAAAACUGUGGGACUCGAGGGAGAUAGAGGAAAGCGGAACUGAUGGUGGAGCGGUGAAAUGCGUUGAUAUCAUCAGGAACACCGGUGGCGAAGGCGGCUUUCUGGGUCUUACCUGACGCUGAGGAACGAAAGCUAGGGGAGCGAACGG